UAACGUAGUAAGUAUCUAUAUAUAUAUAUAUAACUAAACAUAUACUUGUUGUGUUGGGUUUGCUUGUCGACGACUCCAGCGGCGGAUUGAUAUAUACGCUCGUGGUGCUUGAAAACCACAUUUUUGUCGAGCAUACUUCUUAUACGUCGACGUUUCUCAUUCAGGCGGAUUAAUAUAACGUGAGCAUUGUUGUAAACGUCGACGUGGAGUGGUCCUGCUUUCACUAGCACCAAUUACCAAGUAUAUUCUAUUAUAAAAUCCAAGCAUAUCUCAGAGAACACACAUCACAAAAUUAACUUCCUCUGCACAAUAAAUCUCCAUCCAAGAUGAAGCUAUUAUUUAUAAUAUUAUCAACUGUCAUCGCAUAUUCAAAUGUUCAGGCCUCGACGUAUAAAAUCACAGAUCAAGUUUAUUUCGACAUUAUGAUUGACGAUUAUCCUAUUGGUAGAAUAGUAAUUGGUUUAUUUGGAGAUGCUGCGCCAAAGACUGUGAAAAACUUCUUGACAAUUGCGACGGAAGGAAUCAAUGGACGAACUUAUGCAGGUUCAAAGUUCCACCGUGUCAUCAAGAAAUUUAUGAUACAAGGUGGUGAUAUUGAUAAAGGUGAUGGUUCAGGAUCAAUAAGUAUCUACGGAAAGUACUUCGAUGAUGAAGACUCUGGUUACAAUCAUAUUGGACCAGGAUUUAUCAGCAUGGCUAAUGCAGGAAAAAAUACAAACGGUUGCCAAUUUUUCAUCACAACUGUUGCUACACCCUGGCUUGAUGGCAUACAUACUGUUUUUGGAAAGGUAAUUAAAGGUCAAGACGUACUUUUUAAAAUCGAGCAGACGAAAACGGACGUGAAUGACGCACCAAUAUCACCAGUUGUCAUUCUCAAGAGUGGAAAACUUCCAACAACUGCACCGUUUUUCAUCUCUGAAGAUCCCUACGAUCAAAACGAAACUGUUACCAAGGAGCUCUAGACACAGAUCAUUACUUCCUUUAUUGUAUUAAAGUAGAAUGUAGUUUUUAUUUGUAUAAUAUCUGCCUGGGCAUGGAUCAAAGCGACUUUCAUUCCACUAUCAUUUAGUUUUUCAAUACUUGGAUUCUUUCAUUGGGUAAUGAAACAAUUAGAUUCCAGCUGUUUAAAAUUACAAGAAACAGAAAAAUUAUUCAAGCAAGAU
rnacentral:misc_RNA from 1 species